rnacentral:rRNA from 1 species
CCUACGGGGGGCAGCAAUUAGGAAUCUUGCACAAUGGGCGAAAGCCUGAUGCAGCGACGUCGCGUGGGGGAUGAAAUCUUUCGGGAUGUAAACUCCUUUUAACGGGGAAGCGGUACCCGUUGAAUAAGCCCCGGCUAACUACGUGCCAGCAGCCGCGGUAAUACGUAGGGGGCGAGCGUUGUCCGAAGUUACUGGGCGUAAAGCGCCGUAGGCGGACUCUUAAGUGAGGGGUGAAAGGCUUGGGCUCAACCCAAGCACUGCCUUUCAUACUGGGAGUCUUGAGUAUGGGAGAGGCGAGUGGAAUGGUCGGUGUAGCGGUGAAAUGCGUAGAUAUCGAUCGGAACACCCAUGGCGAAGGCAGCUCGCUGGCCAAACUGACGCUGGGCGCGAAAGCGUGGGGAGCAAACAGGAUUAGAUACCCUGGUAGUC